GAUCCUGGCUCAGGAUGAACGCUGGCGGCGUGCCUAACACAUGCAAGUCGAACGGAGAUAUCAGAGAAGCUUGCUUCACUGAUAUCUUAGUGGCGGACGGGUGAGUAACGCGUGGGUAACCUACCCUGUACAGGGGGAUAGCAGCUGGAAACGGCUGAUAAAACCGCAUAAAACGGCAGUACCGCAUGGUACAACCGUCAAAUAUUUAUAGGUACAGGAUGGGCCCGCGUCUGAUUAGCCAGUUGGUGGGGUAACGGCCUACCAAAGCAACGAUCAGUAGCCGGCCUGAGAGGGUGAACGGCCACAUUGGGACUGAGACACGGCCCAAACUCCUACGGGAGGCAGCAGUGGGAAUAUUGGACAAUGGGGGGAACCCUGAUCCAGCGAACCGCCGCGUGAGUGAAGAAGUAUUUCGGUAUGUAAAGCUCUAUCAGCAGGGAAGAUGAUGACGGUACCUGACUAAGAAGCACCGGCUAAAUACGUGCCAGCCGCAGC
rnacentral:rRNA from 1 species